rnacentral:rRNA from 1 species
GACGAACGCUGGCGGCGUGCUUAACACAUGCAAGUCGAACGAAGUGGCGAACGGGUGAGUAACGCGUAAUCAACCUGCCCUUCAGAGGGGGACAACAGUUGGAAACGACUGCUAAUACCGCAUACUGAAGGAGGGGAUUGCGGCUGGUUGGCUAGUUGGCGGGGUAACGGCCCACCAAGGCGAUGAUCAGUAGCCGGUCUGGGAGGGUGAACCGCCAGAUUGGGACUGGGACACGGCCCAGGCUCCUACGGGAAGCAGCAGUGGGGAAUCUUCCGCAAUGGACGAAAGUCUGACGGAGGAACGCCGCGUGGGUGAUGACGGCCUUCGGGUUGUAAAGCUCUUUUAAUCGGGACGCGGUACCGGAAUAGGAAGCCACGGCUAACUACGUGCCAGCAGCCGCGGUAAUUC